GAUGAACGCUGGCGGCGUGCCUAAUACAUGCAAGUCGAGCGAACAGACGAGGAGCUUGCUCCUCUGACGUUAGCGGCGGACGGGUGAGUAACACGUGGAUAACCUACCUAUAAGACUGGGAUAACUUCGGGAAACCGGGGCUAAUACCGGAUAAUAUAUUUAACCGCAUGGUUCAAUAGUGAAAGACGGUUUUGCUGUCACUUAUAGAUGUAUCCGCGCCGCAUUAGCUAGUUGGUAAGGUAACGGCUUACCAAGGCAACGAUGCGUAGCCGACCUGAGAGGGUGAUCGGCCACACUGGAACUGAGACACGGUCCAGACUCCUACGGGAGGCAGCAGUAGGGAAUCUUCCGCAAUGGGCGAAAGCCUGACGGAGCAACGCCGCGUGAGUGAUGAAGGUCUUCGGAUCGUAAAACUCUGUUAUUAGGGAAGAACAAAUGUGUAAGUAACUAUGCACGUCUUGACGGUACCUAAUCAGAAAGCCACGGCUAACUACGUG
rnacentral:rRNA from 1 species